rnacentral:rRNA from 1 species
UAGAGUAGGGCGGGACACGUGAAAUCCUGUCUGAAUAUGGGGGGACCAUCCUCCAAGGCUAAAUACUCGUAAUCGACCGAUAGUGAACAAGUACCGUGAGGGAAAGGCGAAAAGAACCCCGGGAGGGGAGUGAAAUAGAUCCUGAAACCGCAUGCAUACAAAAAGUCGGAGCCGCAAGGUGACGGCGUACCUUUUGUAUAAUGGGUCAGCGACUUACAUUCAGUGGCGAGGUUAACCGAAUAGGGAAGCCGUAGAGAAAUCGAGUCCGAAUAGGGCGAAUAGUCGCUGGGUGUAGACCCGAAACCAAGUGAUCUAUCCAUGGCCAGGAUGAAGGUACCGUAACAGGUGCUGGAGGUCCGAACCGACUAGUGUUGCAAAACUAGCGGAUGAGCUGUGGAUAGGGGUGAAAGGCUAAACAAAUCUGGAAAUAGCUGGUUCUCCCCGAAAACUAUUUAGGUAGUGCCUCAAGUAUUACCUGCGGGGGUAGAGCACUGUUUAGGUUAGGG